GCUUAGUGCAAAGCCUCCGUGUGCCCACAGAGGUGUGGUAUUUUAUUACCUUGCUGUGAAGCAGAAGAAACUACAUUUUAAAAGUUGGGAAAAAGAGAACUGUGCGGCUCAGUGCAGAGCUCAGGGGAGAGUCCUCCGUCCACCUGAGUGCAAACAAAGUGGCUUAAUCUGAACAAAACAUUUCACGGGGCUGCAGCCAAUUAAUGAUGCAAUCGGCACAAUUUCAUCUUAAUCCAAAAAGCGUUUCAAUGAGAGAGGCAGACUUUCUGAAAAUGCCUUUGCCCGGCUCUGGGAAUGGUGUUAUUGGCACGUUACCAUUAGGAUGUAAUAAUCCUGAGUUUCCAGCUCUGUACAGCUGCCGUUUCUCUCAAAGACCUUUGAACCUUUCUGUUCAAAAGGCAAAGAUUCAACCAGCAUGAAAAGUCCUCCCACAAAUUCUCCUUACUUUACUUCCUGGAGCUCUUGGGGAAAAGAAGAAAGAGCAGAUUGGAUGGGGUGUGGUGAUGUUUUUGGCUUUGUGGAACUGGGAUGUUUGGCGCCUUUCAUUGCUGGUGUGGGAGCGUUUUUGGCGCUGCUGCGCCCGUGCCGCUGCUGCGCCGUGUGCGGGACCAGAGCUCUAACGUGUGUGCAGGACAGGACAGGGCCCUGCACGCCCGUCAGAGCACACGCGUGUGCCUCGGUGCUGCAGAACCACGGAGUGGGAGCCAGAGUCCCACCGGCACCUCUGCAAGAAAAUGAAACCCAUGCUUUCUGUUCUACUAAAGACCAAAUAUCUGAUUAUCCGUGCAAAAACUGCUGCCAGGCAAGCUCAGACCCCGAGAACUGGGCCACUCAAGAGGAUUCGCCGUGCGGUGCGGAAUUCUGGAAAAGCACGUCACGCCAGCGUGGACAGACAGAGCCCGGCUGACAGAUGGACACGUCCCCCAGCCACCCAGAGCUUGGGGCGGACAAGCCGUGAGUCAGCAGGGCAGCCCGCGAAGGGCCCUGGCUGCUCUUUUGCUGUUGUUCUGCCUGCGGAGAUGCCGAGCGAGGGGCACGUCCCACGAGUGGUUCACCAUCCCCACCUACACCGCGUCCAGGCCCCCUGUGACCGCGCUCCUCUCCGCUGCAAUCAGUGUAUGUGUGUGUGUGUGCAAAGGUGCUCAGGAAGGGGAGCAGACAAAGGCUCCAAAAGCUUUGUUUAAAGCUCCACUUCUUGCGAGCUGCCCACCCCACGCAUGCGGAAAAUAUCCGCACUUUGUAACGCCAGCAAGGGAAAUAAAACCCGCGAAGCAAAGCCUGAA